rnacentral:rRNA from 1 species
AUACGGAGGGUGCGAGCGUUAAUCGGAAUUACUGGGCGUAAAGCGUGCGUAGGCGGUUUGCUAAGUCAGAUGUGAAAGCCCCGGGCUUAACCUGGGAACUGCAUUUGAUACUGGCAGACUAGAGUAUGAUAGAGGGGGGUAGAAUUCCUGGUGUAGCGGUGAAAUGCGUAGAUAUCAGGAGGAAUACCAGUGGCGAAGGCGGCCCCCUGGAUCAAUACUGACGCUGAGGUACGAAAGCGUGGGGCGCGAACAGGAGUAGAAACCCUAGUAGUCC